UACGAAGGGUGCAAGCGUUACUCGGAAUUACUGGGCGUAAAGCGUGCGUAGGUGGUUUGUUAAGUCUGCUGUGAAAGCCCUGGGCUCAACCCGGGAAUUGCGCUUGAGACUGGUGUGCUCGAGUACGGGAGAGGAUAGUGGAAUUCCCAGUGUAGAGGUGAAAUUCGUAGAUAUUGGGAAGAACACCGGUGGCGAAGGCGGCUAUCUGGACCGUAACUGACGCUGAGGCGCGAAAGCGUGGGGAGCAAACAGG
rnacentral:rRNA from 1 species